rnacentral:rRNA from 1 species
CCCUUAGGUGUCCUGGGCUGCACGCGUGCUACAAUGAUACGUGCAACGAGUUAAUCCUGCUCUGAAAGGAGUGGGUAAUCUUAUGAAUGCGUAUCGUGCUUGGGAUUGACCAUUGUAAUUAUUGGUCAUGAACGAGGAAUUCCUAGUAAGCACAAGUCAUCAGCUUGUGCUGAUUACGUCCCUGCCCUUUGUACACACCGCCCGUCGCUCCUACCGAUUGAGUGUUCCGGUGAAUUAUUCGGACUGCAACAGUUAUCUGUCGCGGAAAGUCUUGUGAACCUUAACACUUAGAGGAAGGAAAAGUCGUAACA